CACUGGCAAAAUGCUACUACUAAAUGAAGUAGUGGUUUAACAGAUAGCGAGAGGAGUAGCUCCGCACAUCCCCUCGACUUGAAAUUCAUGGAUGAAACCAGAAUCACUUAUGCUCCCACCCCCUAGACUUCAUAUUGAACAUAGAUACCACCACCAACAAAUAAUUAAAUUCCCAAAACUUAUAUCUUUCCUAAAAAUAAACUGAAGCAGAGGCUCAUGAUUUACAAGACUGAAGAAGGGAAACAGGAAGAGACUUCCUGAGAUAAUCAUUAACACCAGAAAUGAGACUAAAUAACGAUUUUCAUAAUGGCAUUUGCUGAACAACAGCUGCUAUGAGUGUCAUUAGCUCUGAUCCUACAAGUGGACCAUUGGAGGUGCAAUGGAUGAAAGCCAUAGGGCUCCAUGCAGGGGGAAGGACAUGUGUGACUUGGCAGGAGGGCUAAGACAUGAACACAAAGCAGCUUGCUGUGCUCAGAGCCAGGAAGAGGAAACAGGGCAGAUGGUGAGAAGCGGAAAAGAGGUGUCUGACCUGGAAUCAGCUAAUCUGCAGAGCCACCAGGAGAAAGCACACUAGAGGAGAUUUGAGAGUAUACACUGAGGAACUUUGAACUAUUCACUCAGUUGCCCUGGCUUCUUGUUAGCAUUUUUUCCAAUACACCGCAAGAUUUCUACCUUGUUGCACUGAACGUAGUCGAGCUGAAUAUUUUAACAUGAGAAGAGAGAGUGAGAGAACCACAUUGGCCUUGGUGACUUAGCUACUUAGAGUGUAAUCCUUAUGAUCUGAGGCCAGCUGAUCCUUAACAGCAAAGCUUUAUAUGCAUAAGCAGCAGGAUUGGAUUUACAGAAAUGUACUUGCAAACUGUCAUGACUGAAUCUGAAUUUCAUUGUAGAUGUAUAAAAUUAAAUAUUUUGAUACAUCUUGUAAAGAAAUUGCAGA